UGGCUAAGAAAAAGUUGGAAACCGUUUAGAACAAAGGAGAAUAUAAGGAGAGGACUGCAAAGAUGCUUCAUGGGCAAAAGCAAAAAGAGAAGAGAAAGGAAUAAGCUUCCGGGAUGUGCCCUGCCCACACACCUGUGCCCCCAGAAGAUGACCAGGACAGUGACCACGUCUUGGGCUCACCUGGUGUCUUCAGCACCUGGCGUGGAGCCAGGACUCAGGAAACGUGCACCGAGCUGCACUGAACUUUAAGAUGCCAACCUGAUCAGGGCGAAGGAAGGCUCUUCUUAGAGCCCACACCUAAUGCACUAAUUCAAGUAUACUGAUUACACUGAAAAUGCCAUUUUCUAAAGGUAUGAAGGAAAUGCAAA
rnacentral:lncRNA from 1 species